rnacentral:rRNA from 1 species
AGUGAACGCUGGCGGUAGGCCUAACACAUGCAAGUCGAACGGCAGCACAGUAAGAGCUUGCUCUUACGGGUGGCGAGUGGCGGACGAGUGAGGAAUACAUCGGAAUCUACUUUUUCGUGGGGGAUAACGUAGGGAAACUUACGCUAAUGCCGCAUACGACCUACGGGUGAAAGCAGGGGAUCUUCGGACCUUGCGCGAUUGAAUGAGCCGAUGUCGGAUUAGCUAGUUGGCGGGGUAAAGGCCCACCAAGGCGACGAUCCGUAGCUGGUCUGAGAGGAUGAUCAGCCACACUGGAACUGAGACACGGUCCAGACUCCUACGGGAGGCAGUAGUGGGGAAUAUUGGACAAUGGGCGCAAGCCUGAUCCAGCCAUACCGCGUGGGUGAAGAAGGCCUUCGGGUUGUAAAGCCCUUUUGUUGGGAAAGAAAAGCAGCAGGUUAAUACCCCGCUGUUCUGACGGUACCCAAAGAAUAAGCACCGGCUAACUUCGUG